rnacentral:rRNA from 1 species
GAUGAACGCUGGCGGCGUGCCUAAUACAUGCAAGUCGAGCGAACAGACGAGGAGCUUGCUCCUCUGACGUUAGCGGCGGACGGGUGAGUAACACGUGGAUAACCUACCUAUAAGACUGGGAUAACUUCGGGAAACCGGAGCUAAUACCGGAUAAUAUAUUGAACCGCAUGGUUCAAUAGUGAAAGACGGUUUUGCUGUCACUUAUAGAUGGAUCCGCGCCGCAUUAGCUAGUUGGUAAGGUAACGGCUUACCAAGGCAACGAUGCGUAGCCGACCUGAGAGGGUGAUCGGCCACACUGGAACUGAGACACGGUCCAGACUCCUACGGGAGGCAGCAGUAGGGAAUCUUCCGCAGUGGGCGAAAGCCUGACGGAGCAACGCCGCGUGAGUGAUGAAGGUCUUCGGAUCGUAAAACGCUGUUAUUAGGGAAGAACAAAUGUGUAAGUAACUAUGCACGUCUUGACGGUACCUAAGCAGAAAGCCACGGCUAACUACGU